UUCCCCUAGUAGCGGCGAGCGAAGCGGGAAGAGCUCAAAUUUAUAAUCUGGCACCUUCGGUGUCCGAGUUGUAAUCUCUAGAAAUGUUUUCCGCGUUGGACCGCACACAAGUCUGUUGGAAUACAGCGGCAUAGUGGUGAGACCCCCGUAUAUGGUGCGGACGCCCAGCGCUUUGUGAUACAUUUUCGAAGAGUCGAGUUGUUUGGGAAUGCAGCUCAAAUUGGGUGGUAAAUUCCAUCUAAAGCUAAAUAUUGGCGAGAGACCGAUAGCGAACAAGUACCGUGAGGGAAAGAUGAAAAGCACUUUGGAAAGAGAGUUAACAGUACGUGAAAUUGUUGGAAGGGAAACGCUUGAAGUCAGACUUGCUUGCCGAGCAAUCGGUUUGCAGGCCAGCAUCAGUUUUCCGGGAUGGAUAAUGGUAGAGAGAAGGUAGCAGUUUCGGCUGUGUUAUAGCUCUCUGCUGGAUACAUCUUGGGGGACUGAGGAACGCAGUGUGCCUUUGGCGGGGGUUUCGACCUCUUCACACUUAGGAUGCUGGUGGAAUGGCUUUAAACGACCCGUCUUGAAACACGGACCAAGGAGUCUAACAUGCUUGCGAGUAUUUGGGUGUCAAACCCGGAUGCGUAAUGAAAGUGAAUGGAGGUGGGAACCGCAAGGUGCACCAUCGACCGAUCUGGAUUUUUAAUGAUGGAUUUGAGUAAGAGCACGUAUGUUGGGACCCGAAAGAUGGUGAACUAUGCCUGAAUAGGGCGAAGCCAGAGGAAACUCUGGUGGAGGCUCGUAGCGGUUCUGACGUGCAAAUCGAUCGUCAAAUUUGGGUAUAGGGGCGAA
rnacentral:rRNA from 1 species